UAAAAAGAUAAGAGCAGUUUAAUAAGCAUAAAGUUUCCCCUAGUUAAGAAUUUCCAAAUCAAACUUAUGCAAAUUCCCUUCUAUCUUUUCUGCAUUAAUCCUGAAUCAAGACUACUUGCUUAAAUCCUCCCCUCAUCGCCUCAAAUCAAACCUUGAGAUUGAGCCAAACUCGGCAGUAAGUUGCAGAGGUAACCUGAGAGAGGUAUUUUGGUGUUUGGCCUAAAUUUAUUAAGUUGAUUUUAUUAUUGAUUUCAGGAUGAAUUCAUUGAUAAGAUCACUGUCUAAAUCAACCUCAAGUAAUAAUAAAAACAGUGUAAAUAGUGACGAACAUAACAUGGAAAACUCAAACAUAGAAAACCAUUUGAAGAAAUGGAAAGUUCCAAAAUUUUCAAAAAAGGCAGUCUAUGAAACAAGCAUUUUCAAUUUCAGAAAAGAUUGUUCUAUCGAAACAACCGAGCGAAAAGUUCCAUUGAGUAACAAGCUUGAAUGCAUCAAAUUGUUUGAUCAGCAAGCUGUAAGAAGACACACAGAGAAAUACAAGUAUUUGCAUAUAGGAUUAGUCCAGGUCGGUGUCAGACCGCUCACACAUGAAGGAGUCAACACAUCAAUUUUGCUUUGCCUUAGAGACAAGAGGCUGCUUGAUUUCAAUAAUUCAUUAUUAAGUGUUCUUCAAUCAAGCCUUGUUGAUGGUCCUGUUUAUUUUAAUUGUUUUCCAAACAUUAUGGUUUUUCUUCAGGAUCCGAAUAUUAUGCAUGUUCUUACACUAAAUAUUAAGCUUCAGAAUUUGGAAACCCAAGAGACUUGUUUCCCUGUUGUGUUGAUGUAUAGAGUUCAUUACAAAUGCCUAGUAGAUCCAUUCAACACAGCUGCCAGAAAAUCUAGUUCCAGAGAUAAAACUCUUUUUUUCCAAACAAAAAUCAAAAGGCCAAGUAUUGACAUUCCUAGAGUCAUCAAGUGGAGUGAAAUCCAAUUUCCUGAAGAAUGGAAGCUCCAGGAUGAGAAUCCUCGGAGCAACAAGAACGUCAAUCGUCCCAAACCAUACAGUGUCCUGAUGGAGUAGCCCGGAUUCGGUUCAUAUCAAGAAAUAAUGGGGAGUCUUCUACAGGAUUUGUCAUCAAUUAAUGAAGAAUGUUAUUAAGUGUUAUAGAGCAAGUUUCUCAUUCUAUCUCUAGCUCAGUGAAUACUAGUUUAUGUUUUUGAUUUUGUUUGGUAUGUGGUUUGGAUUGUGUACAAAUUAUACUUAUAAAAGAACCUACCGGGACUAGAGGAAUCCAAGGAAGGUUCAAUAACCAUGCAGAAAUAUGCUGUAAAAAAACCACUUUGAGCCAUUAGUUAACAGAAUUUUUUGAUUCA